GAGAUCAUCAAGGAAGCCAAGAGGAAAUUUGCAAAGAACCAAAAAGAUUUCAGGAGAGCCAAGCAAAGAAUCAGAGAAGAUAUUAAGGCCCUGAAAGAGCAACAGGAAAAAAUUGAGAAAGAGCUUGACCGGCUCCAGGCAAAGGCUUCCAAAAGCAUCCAAGAAGUCAAAACAGA